GCGUCGAGAAAGUACAGUAAAAAGUCCAAGUGCAGCGCUCGUCGAGAUGGGAACGGGCUCUUCCAGCUACCGGCCCAAGGCCAUCUAUUUGGACAUCGAUGGACGCAUUCAGAAGGUGGUCUUCAGCAAGUAUUGCAACUCCAGCGACAUUAUGGACCUGUUCUGCAUCGCCACCGGCCUGCCUCGGAACACGACCAUCUCCCUCCUGACCACAGAUGACGCCAUGGUCUCCAUCGACCCCACCAUGCCUGCCAAUUCGGAACGGACUCCCUACAAAGUGAGACCUGUGGCCAUCAAGCAGCUCUCUGAGAAAGAAGAGUUGAUCCAGAGCGUGCUGACCCAGGUGGCAGAGCAGUUCUCAAGAGCAUUUAAAAUCAACGAACUGAAAGCCGAAGUUGCGCAUCACUUGGCAGUGCUAGAGAAGCGCGUUGAAUUGGAAGGACUGAAAGUGGUGGAGGUUGAGAAAUGCAAGAGUGACAUUAAAAAGAUGAGGGACGAGCUGGCAGCUAGAAGCAACAGGACCAGCUGUCCCUGUAAAUAUAGUUUUUUGGAUAACAGCAAGAAGUUGACAUCUCGACGCGAUGUCCCCGCUUAUCCCAAGUACCUGCUGUCCCCCGAGACCGUAGACGCCCUGCGGAAGCCCACCUUCGACGUCUGGCUCUGGGAGCCCAACGAGAUGCUGAGCUGCUUAGAGCACAUGUACCACGACCUCGGCCUGGUCAGAGAUUUUGGCAUCAACCCCAUCACCCUCAAGCGGUGGCUGCUCUGCGUGCACGACAACUACCGUAACAACCCUUUCCACAACUUCCGUCACUGCUUCUGCGUCACCCAGAUGAUGUACAGCAUGACCUGGCUCUGCGGGCUGCAGGAGAAGUUUUCCCAGAUGGAUAUCUUGAUCUUAAUGACAGCGGCCAUCUGCCAUGACUUGGAUCAUCCAGGCUACAACAACACGUACCAGAUCAAUGCCCGCACGGAGCUGGCCAUCCGCUACAAUGACAUCUCGCCCCUGGAGAACCACCACUGUGCCGUGGCCUUCCAGAUCCUCAGCCAGCCCGAGUGCAACAUCUUCUCCAGCGUGCCGGCGGAGGGCUUCAAGCAGAUCAGACAGGGGGUGAUCACGUUAAUCCUGGCCACCGACAUGGCGAGGCACGCGGAAAUUAUGGAUUCUUUCAAAGAAAAAAUGGAGAAUUUUGACUACAGCAACGAGGAGCACAUGACCCUGCGCACCUCUUCAGUGCUCUGGGGUCCCAGCACUCUCCACCCGCUGGGGUUUUUUUCGUCAUCUGUUAAACCUCUGCCUCCAGGCAGUACCGUCUGUCUACACUUUUUACAUAUUCUCGACAUCAAGAAGACACUUCUGAGCUUUGCAGUGUAUAGUUUGUAUGACAAAACGUCCGUGUGUUCAAGGGGCUUCCCUACUACUGAGGCCCCUCCAGGAAAGAUUCUGGCCCUCGGGGGUGCGGGGAUGCCCCGUCUUCCCCCUGCAGCGGGAAGUAUGUCCUUGUGGGGGGCAGGGGGCAACAAUGCUGGGUUCCCCUCCGCCAGCAUCACCCGCCCUCCUUCCCUGCCGGCCCGUGAUGGUGAGUCCAGACGCACAGCGCUGUGGGAUGUGUCCCGUGUUGCACAGCUGAUUCCAGAUCUCUUCUUUCAGCUGAAGAUGAUCCUGAUUAAGUGCUGUGACAUCUCUAACGAGGUCCGUCCGAUGGAGGUGGCGGAACCCUGGGUGGAUUGUUUAUUAGAGGAGUAUUUCAUGCAGAGCGACCGCGAGAAGUCGGAGGGCCUUCCCGUGGCGCCUUUCAUGGACCGGGACAAAGUGACCAAGGCCACGGCCCAGACUGGGUUCAUCAGCUUCGUGCUGAUCCCGAUGUUUGAAACGGUGACCAAGCUCUUCCCUGCGGUGGGGGAGCUCAUGCUGCAGCCCCUGUGGGAGUCCAGAGACCGCUACGAGGAGCUGAAGCAAAUGGACGCCAUGAAGGAGAAGUCACAGACGGGGCUUCCCUGGUGGCGCAGCGGUUGAGAGUCCGCCUGCCGAUGCAGGGGACGCGGGUUCGUGCCCCGGUCCGGGAAGAUCCCACAUGACGCGGAGCGGCUGGGCCCGUGAGCCAUGGCCGCUGAGCCUGCGUGUCCGGAGCCUGUGCUCCGCAACGGGAGAGGCCACAGCAGUGAGAGGCCCGCGUACCGCAAAAAAAAAAAAAAAAAAAAGUCACAGACGGGUCCUGAAACUCCAAGAACCUAAGAGCAAAAGAUGCAGAGAACAGAUGGAAGAGGCGGUGUCCCCCUGCCGAGCCCCCUGACAGGAGGGCUAAAGGGGCCUGACUCCCCAGGGUCAACUGAGAGCCAUCGCUGCGAAGGCCUCAGUCUCCAGGUCCCAGGCCAGCCGCCUAGAAGGGCCGUUAGGACGCUCCAGUGCCCCUUCCUGUUCCCAGAAAGAACAGACCCACAAAAGAGGUGAAAGGGUCUCGGACUUCGCACCCGCAUCCACCAGUGCGCUGGCGCUGCACCUGUGGCCAUGAGUGCGAGGACAGUGGCCGUGUGCAGUGGGGCCUCUGACCGCAGGGAAGGUGGCCCGUGCAGAGCUGUUGUCCGGGAAGCUCCCCCAGGCUGUAGACCCCAGUCUCCUCCCGCGUCUUAGCAUCUGCAGCCCCGGGAAGGUCUUGGGCAGACGAGCAGUCACUCACUCACUGUUCCUGGAGCUUGAUUUUUGCCUUCCGUAUCCUCUGUCCUGGUUACAGCAGAAGGCUGAGAGCCUGACACCUGAGAGCACCGCGUCAAGAGAGAAAAGCAGAGAUGGGGGAAAACGUGAAGAUCAUGCCUGAAGAAAGCCGUGUGCUGUGGGCUGCUCUCUGGGCCCGGCCGGCUGGGCUUUGCGGAUCGGCCCUGCAGGGAGACGUGGUCCUGAGCAUCUGCCACCAUGAGAUCAUGUUUUCUAAGAACCAUUUUGUUCACUGAUAACAAAAAAAAGGACUUCACGACGCUGUACAGAAUUUUUAUUUUUAAACUGUCUUUUAAAUAAUAUAUUCUUAUACAGAAA